GUCCUGUCAAGUCGUGUCGCAGGUGUUUCCUCCGUGUUAAAGUUUUGGUGUGGACUCUGCUAUGGAUCAGAGUGAGGACACAGAGGAGGGAGUCGGUCCCUCUGAAACCAUCCAGACCAAAGCUCAGAGGAUGCUGCAGCAGGGACCAGACUCUCCUGGACCUGGACCUGGACCUGGACCUCAAUCCAGCUGUGUGUCUAUGAAGAGUGACCAGUCUAAAGGUCUUCCUCUUUCCUUUAAAGUCAGACAACCUGCUGAUGGAGGGGUGCAGCAGCAGAGACCAGACUCUCUUGGACCUGGAUCAGAAUCUGGACCCAGCUGUGUGUCCAUAAAGAGUGAUCGGUCUAAAGGUCUUCCUGUGUCCUUUAAAGCUGGAGAACCUGUUGAUGGAGAAGUUCAGCAGGAGAGGUCAGAGGGUCUCUGUGUUCAGUCUACCCAGCAGCCUCAAACAGACAUGGACUCCAUAUUUAUGCUGCUGGAGGAGAACGUCAUCACCUUUGUGAAGAACGAGCUGAGAAAAAUCCACAAGGUUCUGAGUCCAGAUUAUCCAGAAUCUUUAGAGAGUCAGAGGGAGGAGGAGGAGGUGUUGGACAGUGAGGAUGAAGAGCUGAGGAGGAGCAGCAGAGAGGCAUUUCUGAAGAUCACACUGAGUUUCCUGAGGAGAAUGAAGCAGGAGGAGCUGGCUGACCGUCUGCAGAGCAGAACUGAUGCUCCACUGUGCAGACAUAAAUUCAAGUCUAGCCUGCAGAAGAAGUUCCAGUGUGUGUUUGAGGGGAUCGCUAAAGCAGGAAACCCGACUCUCCUGAAUGAGAUCUACACAGAGCUCUACAUCACAGAGGGAGGGACUGCAGAGGUCAAUAAUGAACAUGAGGUCAGACAGAUAGAAACAGCAUCCAGGAAACCAGACAGACCAGAAACAACCAUCAGACAAGAGGACAUCUUUAAAGGCUCACCUGGACGAGGCGAACCAAUCAGAACAGUGAUGACAAAGGGAGUGGCUGGCAUCGGGAAAACAGUCCUAACACAGAAGUUUACUCUGGACUGGGCUGAAGACAAAGCCAACCAGGACAUCCAGUUCACGUUUCCAUUCACGUUCAGAGAGCUGAAUGUGCUGAAAGAGAAAAAGUACAGCUUGGUGGAGCUUGUUCAUCACUUCUUUACUGAAGCCAAAGAAGCAGGAAUCUGCAGGUUUGAAGACUUCCGGGUCGUCUUCAUCUUUGACGGUCUGGAUGAGUGUCGACUUCCUCUGGACUUCCACAACAACGAGAUCCUGACUGACGUCACAGAGUCCACCUCAGUGGAUGUGCUGCUGACAAACCUCAUCAGGGGGAAACUGCUUCCCUCCGCUCGCCUCUGGAUAACCACACGACCUGCAGCAGCCAAUCAGAUCCCUCCUGAGUGUGUUGACAUGGUGACAGAGGUCAGAGGGUUCACCGACCCACAGAAGGAGGAGUACUUCAUGAGGAGAUUUAGAGAUGAGGAGCAGGUCGGCAGGAUCAUCUCCCACAUCAAGACUUCCCGAAGCCUCCACAUCAUGUGCCACAUCCCAGUCUUCUGCUGGAUCACUGCUACAGUCCUGGAGGACGUGUUGGAGACCAGAGAGGGAGGACAGCUGCCCAAGACCCUGACUGAGAUGUACAUCCACUUCCUGGUGGUUCAGACCAAACUGAAGAACGUCAAGUAUGACGGAGGAGCUGAGACAGAUCCACACUGGAGUCCAGAGAGCAGGAAGAUGAUGGAGUCUCUGGGAAAACUGGCUUUUGAGCAGCUGCAGAAAGGAAACCUGAUCUUCUACAAGUCCGACCUGAAGGAGUGUGGCAUCGAUAUCAGAGCAGCCUCAGUGUACUCAGGAGUGUUCACACAGGUCUUUAAAGAGGAGAGAGGACUGUACCAGGACAAGGUCUUCUGCUUCGUCCAUCUGAGUGUUCAGGAGUUUCUGGCUGCUCUUCAUGUCCAUCUGACCUUCAUCAACUCUGGAGUCAAUCUGCUGGGUGAAGAACAGACAGCAUCUCGAUGGUCUGAAGUACUCAGAGGCAAAUCAACAUGUUUCUACCAGAGUGCUGUGGACAAGACCUUACAGAGUCCAAAUGGACACUUUGAUUUGUUCCUGCGCUUCCUCCUGGGUCUGUCACUGCAGACCAAUCAGAAACACCUACAAGGUCUUCUGACACAGACAGGAAGCAGCGUACAGACGAAUCAGAAAACAGUCGAGUACAUCAAGAAGAAGAUCAAUGAGAAUCUGUCUCCAGAGAGAAGCAUCAACCUGUUCCACUGUCUGAAUGAACUGAAUCAUAGUUCUCUGGUGGAGGAGAUCCAGCAGUCCCUGAGAUCAGGACGUCUGUCCACAGAUAAACUGUCUCCUGCUCAGUGGUCAGCUCUGGGCUUCAUCUUACUGUCAUCAGAGACAGAUCUGGACGUGUUUGACCUGAAGAAAUACUCUGCUUCAGAGGAGGCUCUUCUGAGGCUGCUGCCAGUGGUCAAAGCCUCCAACAAAGCUCUAUUGAGUGGCUGUAAGCUCUCAGAGAGAAGCUGUGAAGCUCUGUCCUCAGUUCUCAGCUCCCAGUCCUCUAGUCUGAGAGACCUGGACCUGAGUAACAAUGACCUGCAGGACCCAGGAGUGAAGCGUCUUUCUGAUGGACUGAAGAGUCCAGACUGUUUAAUAGAAAGUCUCAGAUUAAGUGGCUGUAAGCUCUCAGAGAGAAGCUGUGAAGCUCUGUCCUCAGUUCUCAGCUCCCAGUCCUCGAGUCUGAGACACUUGGACCUGAGUAACAACAACCUGCAGGACUCAGGAGUGAGGAUGCUGUGUGAUGGACUGAAGAAUCCAAACUGCAAACUGGAAACUCUCAGUCUCUCAUCCUGUCAGGUCUCAGAGACAGGCUGUUCGUCUCUGGCCUCAGCUCUGAGCUCCAACCCGUCCCAUCUGAGAGAGCUGGACCUGAGCUACAACCAUCCAAGAAUCUUGGGAGACAAACUGCUGUCUGCUGGACUGAAGGGUACACACUGGAGACUGGACACUCUCAGGUUGGACCAUCGUGGACCGCACAGACGGAGACCUGAUCUGAUGAAGCACGUCUCUGAACUGGAACUGGACACAAACACAGUGAAUGGGUUACUGAAACUGUCCAACAACAACAGGACGGUGACACAUGUGGAGGAGAGUCACUCGUAUCCUGAUCAUCCAGACAGAUUUGAGCAAUGGCCUCAGCUGCUGUGUAGAACUGGUCUGACUGGUGGCUGUUACUGGGAGGUGGAGUGGAGAGGAGACGUUUAUAUAUCAGUGAGUUACAGACGGAUCAGGAGGAGAGGACGCAGUAAUGACUGUGUGUUUGGAGGGAAUAAUCUGUCCUGGAGUCUGAGCUGCUCUGAUGAUGAAGGUUUCUCCGUCUGGCACAAUAACAGACAAACACACCUCUCCUCCUCUUUCUCGUCCUCGUCCUCGUCCUCGUCCUCUGUCUCUCACAGAGUAGCAGUGUAUGUGGACUGUCCUGCUGGCUCUCUGUCCUUCUACAGAGUCUCCUUUGACAAACUGAUCCACCUCCACACCUUCAACACCACGUUCACUGAACCUCUUUAUCCUGGGUUUAUGGUUUGCUUACCUGGUUCCUCAGUGUCUCUGUGUCCUCUGCAGGUCUAAGAGUGUCUCCUGUGGACAGAGCAAUGGCGGUUCUGGGGAGGGGCCAACAGGGGCCAGAGCCCCUCUAACACUGAACCUGGAGCCCCUGUGCCCCCCCUUCCCCCACACUCCGAACAAAAAUUAUACAAUAAUAAAAAUCACAGUAUUGCGCCAACAUGAAAGGCGGAACAAAUGUGUGAGGCAUUUGUUUUCAGUCGGAGCGCUGACUGAAGCGUGGAUGACUCGAAAAAUAGGCCACAACACGGAUCACGUGACAAGAGGCAGAAGCAAGAAUCAAUCAAUCAAAACAUACCUCAGAUCCUUGAUUAUUGUUUUACCCAGAAACACUGAAUGAUGCAGUGAGUGUCGUCUGAACGUCAUCAAUUUACAAUUUAUAGACAAACUUUCUUUGAACAGUCACUAUAUUUUCUAAUGUUUGUAAAUGCUUUUAAUAAAAUCUUGAUGUUUUAUGUUGUGGGCCAGCUGCAGUUCAUCUGAUCUCUUUAAAGGAAGCAGCGAGCCACAUUUAGAGAAAUUUAGUGAAAUCUGUGGAUGAGGACUGCAGAUUGUAACCAGCUGAAACUUCUCCUGGUUAGAAAUCCUUCAGUGUUCAGGAGUUUUUACUGGGAGCUAAAUUAUCCACAGACGUGUCUUCCUCCCCAAAACAAGCAGAUCAGCUCAUUUAAACCGAGAAAAACACUUGGUGUUUAAUCAGUGUUUCCGAUGCUGCUCGUUUUGGAGGAGCUGCUGUCUCCAGCGGCCGAUUUAAAACGUGAAUGUCUCUGUCUGUUGGCAGUGUUUGGUUUGUCCUCUCUGGGCUCCUGUAGAAACAUGGCGGUGCAACAUGGCGAUCUGUGUUGACAAGGACCUGCUCCCUCUGCAGAUUUAAAUGGCUCAUUAUGAGGACCUGAAGUACCUUCAAAUGGAUCAGCUGGUUUGUCUCCUGAGAAUUGGGACAUUUUAGACAAUGGAAGGACCAUCAGUGAUUUCA